rnacentral:rRNA from 1 species
GAUGAACGCUGGCGGCGUGCCUAAUACAUGCCAGUCGAGCGAACAGACGAGGAGCUUGCUCCUCUGACGUUAGCGGCGGACGGGUGAGUAACACGUGGAUAACCUACCUAUAAGACUGGGAUAACUUCGGGAAACCGGAGCUAAUACCGGAUAAUAUAUUGAACCGCAUGGUUCAAUAGUGAAAGACGGUUUUGCUGUCACUUAUAGAUGGAUCCGCGCCGCAUUAGCUAGUUGGUAAGGUAACGGCUUACCAAGGCAACGAUGCGUAGCCGACCUGAGAGGGGGAAGGCCCACGUAGGAAAUGAGGCACGGCCCAAACCCGAAGGGGAGGCAGCAGAGGGGAAUUUUCGGGAAGGGGGGAAAGCCUUCGGGGGAAAGGCCGGGGGAGUGAUGAAGGUUUUCGGUGGGGAAACCUUUUUUUUAGGGGAAGAAAAAUUGUGUAAGUAAAUAAGAAGCUUUGAAGGGAACCGAAGAAGAAGCCCACGCCAAAUUAGGG